GAACCCCUGGGGUAACCGCGU
rnacentral:misc_RNA from 1 species